AACAUUACUGUACAAUAUAUGGUGCUUUGGGGAGAGAGGUAAAGGGCGUAGCCCACUUUUGCAAGGUUGUAUAAACACUUUCCCUUGGUCCUUCACAAGGGGAGGUCCGACCAUCUGGCCGUCUACCCUUCCCUACCACCUGCUAGUUUUUUAGCUAGUUUUUGUUGUUGCCUUGUCCUAAUUUCAUUCAGUCUCCUUUUGGAGUCUUAGUGCGCAGGCUUCCUUGAUGUGUGUUGUGAAUAUGUUCGGAGCAUGGUUGGAAGGCAGCUCAGAUGGUGGGCACAGUUUCAGUCACUAUUGCCUAGCCCGUUCCUGGUUUGUCUGGCACUAGCCAAGUUUCCUAUUUUUUCUAGCAUUACUGGAUCUCCCCCACUUUCUUCAUCUGGGUUUAAUAGUGUGAGCAGGGAAGUUUUCGAGGUUGGACUGGGAGCUUAAUCUCUCCAUCUAAGGUUGUGUUUUCAUCCUGCAUGUUAGUAUCUCGAAUGGGCCUGACGUUUGUCUCCUUUAAUGGCCACUGAUGUUUUGUUGAUGGAAGAGGCAGCACUGACUAUUUGUGAUGAAGGGAGGAGGUUGAUGAUGAAGAGAGCAUAUGGGUCAACCCAUUUAGUCUAGGGCUCCAACUUUUUUUGGUUUUGGUUCUUUUUGGGUUUGGGUUGGAAAUUAUGUAGUGUUCUUCUUCUUAAUGUGCUUCGCCUUGUAACACUUAUUUCAAUAAUGAAAUAUGCUUUUCUGAUAAAAAAAAAAAAGAGAGAUGAGGAAGAGAUAGAUGUUUGAUGGCCAAGAGCACUUCUAUUAAAUCUAAAACAAUAGAGUUUCA
rnacentral:misc_RNA from 1 species